UGGGGCGUAGCCAAGUGGUAAGGCAACGGGUUUUGAUCCCGUUAUGCGCAGGUUCGAACCCUGCCGCCCCAGCCA
rnacentral:tRNA from 1 species